rnacentral:tRNA from 1 species
AAUUAAUUAAUGAGAUUGUUAAAACAUUUGUUUUGAAAACAUAAGAAAGAAUAAUUAUUCUAUUAAUUU